rnacentral:rRNA from 1 species
GUUGAAAACCACUGCCCUAAAGACUCCAGAUCUUAUUUGAUCUCGGAAGAUAAGCAGGGUCAGUCCUGGUUAGUACUUGGAUGGGAUUUUGCCAAUAAAUAUCAGGUCCUGUCAGCU